rnacentral:rRNA from 1 species
UAGGGAAUAUUGGGCAAUGGACGGAAGUCUGACCCAGCCAUGCCGCGUGCAGGAAGAAGGCGCUCAGCGUUGUAAACUGCUUUUAUCGGGGAAGAACGGCAGUCCUGCGGGAUUGUGUGACGGUACUCGAGGAAUAAGCACCGGCUAACUCCGUGCCAGCAGCCGCGGUAAGACGAAGGAUGCAAGCGUUAUCCGGAUUCAUUGGGUUUAAAGGGAGCGUAGGUGGCCUUAUAAGUCAGUGGUGAAAUCUCUUCGCUUAACGAAGAUAUUGCCAUUGAUACUGUAAGGCUUGAGUAUAGUUGCCGUUGGCGGAAUAUGUCAUGUAGCGGUGAAAUGCUUAGAUAUGACAUAGAACACCAAUUGCGAAGGCAGCUGGCUACGCAUAUAUUGACACUGAGGCACGAAAGCGUGGGGAUCAAACA